rnacentral:rRNA from 1 species
AGAGUUUGAUCCUGGCUCAGAAUCAACGCUGGCGGCGUGCCUAACACAUGCAAGUCGAACGCGAAAGUGGAGCAAUCCAUGAGUAGAGUGGCAAACGGGUGAGUAACACGUGGGUGACCUGCCUUCGAGUGGGGGAUAACGUCCCGAAAGGGACGCUAAUACCGCAUAACAUGCUGUCCUUUAAGAGAUGGACAUCAAAGCCGGGGACCGCAAGGCCUGGCGCUUGAAGAGGGGCCCGCGCCUGAUUAGCUAGUUGGUGGGGUAAUGGCUCACCAAGGCAACGAUCAGUAUCCGGCCUGAGAGGGCGGACGGACACACUGGGACUGAGACACGGCCCAGACUCCUACGGGAGGCAGCAGUGGGGAAUUGUUCGCAAUGGGCGCAAGCCUGACGACGCAACGCCGCGUGGAGGAUGAAGAUCUUCGGGUCGUAAACUCCUUUCGAUCGAGACGAACGGCCUCCGGGCUAACAUCCUGGAGGAGUGACGGUACCGAGAGAAGAAGCCCCGGCUAACUCCGUGCCAGCAGCCGCGGUAAUACGGGGGGGGCAAGCGUUGUUCGGAAUUACUGGGCGUAAAGGGCUCGUAGGCGGCCAACUAAGUCAUACGUGAAAUCCCUCGGCUUAACCGGGGAACUGCGUCUGAUACUGGAUGGCUUGAGUUCGGGAGAGGGAUGCGGAAUUCCAGGUGUAGCGGUGAAAUGCGUAGAUAUCUGGAGGAACACCGGUGGCGAAGGCGGCAUCCUGGACCGA